rnacentral:snoRNA from 12 species
AUGGUCUGGAGAAAGGCUCCUGUGUUGUUGGACCUGCCCAGAGUGGGUGCAGCCUUGUACCAGGCAGCCCGACCCUGACCUAGAGUAAGUGCCUGGGGACAAGUUCUCCCUGGGCUUGGAACUUGCAGUAACAGGUGUGAACAUUCUAGCAGUAGUUUGAUGAUCAUGUAUGAUACUGCAAACAGGG